rnacentral:piRNA from 1 species
UGGAGGCAGAGAGGCAGGUUUUAAUU